UAACGAAUCUUCCGCAAUGCGCGAAAGCGUGACGGAGCAAUGCCGCGUGCAGGAUGAAGCCCUUCGGGGUGUAAACUGCUGUCAGGGAUUAGGAACACAAUGACCAUUCCCAAAGGAAGAGACGACUAACUCUGUGCCAGCAGUCGCGGUAAUACAGAGGUCUCGAGCGUUAGUCGGAAUCACUGGGCUUAAAGCGUACGUAGGCGGAUCUGCAGGCGUCGUGUGAAAUCCCUCGGCUCAACCGGGGAACUGCACGGCGAACCGCAGAUCUUGAGAUCGGUAGGGGCGGUCGGAACGAUAGGUGGAGUGGUGAAAUGCGUUGAUAUCUAUCGGAACGCCGAAGGUGAAGACAGGCCGCUGGGCCGACUCUGACGCUGAGGUACGAAAGCGUGGGGAGCGAACGGGAUUAGAUACCCCCGUAGUCC
rnacentral:rRNA from 1 species